rnacentral:rRNA from 1 species
AGAGUUUGAUCCUGGCUCAGGACGAACGCUGGCGGCGUGCUUAACACAUGCAAGUCGAACGAGGUCCAGGGAGUAGCAAUACUCCUGAAGACUUAGUGGCGAACGGGUGAGUAACACGUGAGCAACCUGCCCCGAAGACUGGGAUAACAGCGGGAAACCGCUGCUAAUACCGGAUACCCCCAUCGGACGACAUCGCCUGA